rnacentral:rRNA from 1 species
UAAGGAAUAUUGGUCAAUGGACGCAAGUCUGAACCAGCCAUGCCGCGUGGAGGAUGAAGGUCCUCUGGAUUGCAAACUUCUUUUAUCUGGGACGAAACACUUCUUUUCUAAGAGGCCUGACGGUACCAGAUGAAUAAGCACCGGCUAACUCCGUGCCAGCAGCCGCGGUAAUACGGAGGGUGCAAGCGUUAUCCGGAUUCACUGGGUUUAAAGGGUGCGUAGGUGGGUAUGUAAGUCAGUGGUGAAAUCCCCGAGCUUAACUUGGGAACUGCCAUUGAUACUAUAUAUCUUGAAUACCGUAGAGGUAGGCGGAAUAUGUCAUGUAGCGGUGAAAUGCUUAGAUAUGACAUGGAACACCAAUUGCGAAGGCAGCUUACUAUGCGGUGAUUGACACUGAGGCACGAAAGCGUGGGUAGCAAACA